UGGUUUACCGUCCCACAUACAU
rnacentral:ncRNA from 12 species